CCCAGUGGUAAGUCAGCUGUCCAGUGCUAUGAAGUGCCUGUGCCGGUGUUAGACUGCUGGGAGAUUAAUGGGGCUGCCCUCUUUCCCUGACUAUUAGCUGUUGCUGUUUUGGUCGUGGCUAGUACCAGGUCUGGGCAGUGCUGCGCAUCCUUUGAGUGGUCCAUUGUUCACUGGUAAGGAUGGUCCUAGUCUGGUUGCAUACACU